GCGAACAUAAAGCCGCACCUCUCCAGAUAGUCAGUACAUAUAAAGAACUCAAACGAGGCAUUCCUUGUACCAAAAAUUGACCAAGAGGAUCCCCAUCAGGAUGCCUCCCACUCUGUUCUUAACGGUAGUUGCAGGAAUGCUUUGUUACGUCAGCUCAGGGGAUUGUCUCUACACUGAAAGCUUAUAGCUGGAGAAACCUUUGCCACCUGAAUGCCAUCCCUGGUAGAAGGUGAAGCAAAAAUAUCCCAAACCCCACACUCCUGAAGGACCAGAUUCAUCGACCACAAUUGCACCGAUAACACCAGGAUUGUCCCUGAGACUGGCCGACACGUACAACUACUGUGAGGGCCGCG